rnacentral:rRNA from 1 species
UACGAAGGGGGGCUAGCGUUGCUCGGAAUUACUGGGCGUAGAGGGCGCGUAGGCGGAUAGUUUAGUCAGAGGUAAAAGCCCAGGGCUCAACCUUGGAACUGCCUUUGAUACUGGCUAUCUUGAGUACGGGAGAGGUGUGUGGAACUCCGAGUGUAGAGGUGAAAUUCGUAGAUAUUCGGAAGACCACCAGUGGCGAAGGCGGCUUGCCAGAACGCGCUCGACGGUGAGGGAUGAAAGCUGGGGGAGCAAACCGG